UUUGAAAUCUGACUUCGGUCUGAGUUGUAAUUUGUAGAGGGUAUUUGGAAAGCGACGUCGGCCUAAGUCCCUUGGAACAGGGCGUCAUAGAGGGUGAGAAUCCCGUAUGUGGCCAUGCGUCAAUUUCAUGUCAAAUCUCUUCGACGAGUCGAGUUGUUUGGGAAUGCAGCUCAAAAUGGGUGGUAAAUUUCAUCUAAAGCUAAAUACCGGCCAGAGACCGAUAGCGCACAAGUAGAGUGAUCGAAAGAUGAAAAGCACUUUGGAAAGAGAGUUAAACAGUACGUGAAAUUGUUGAAAGGGAAGCGCUUGCCAUUAGACCGAUCUUCAGGCAGCAGUUUAGAGGUAACUCUGGAUGUAAAGCACCUGUUCUUCGGCCAGCAUCGGUUUAGGUGGUUUGACAAAAACCAUAAGAACGUAGCUCCUCGGAGUGUUAUAGCUUAUGGUAUAAUGAAGCCUACCUGGACCGAGGACCGCGCUUC
rnacentral:rRNA from 1 species